UUUGACAUGAAAUUUCCUAGUUUUCUUUUUCAGUAACAGAAAGAAAGCUAGCAGAGCUUUCUUUCUUGCUUUCCAAAAACCCCUUUUUGUGUUCUGUUUAUAAUAAUAAUAGUAAUAAUAAUUAUUAUUAUUAUAUAUAAGUUUGAGACCCCAUUUGAUUAUUUUGUUGUGUCUAUCAUUAUAUAUGGCUAUGUAUGUAUAUUUUGGCUCCAAAGUACAAAAUCUCACAAGUGACCUACUUAUCUUGAUCUUCUUCUUCAACUGUGUGCAAUUCUCUCAUUCAAAAGCUUUAUUUUCUCAGGAAAUGUGUACUCCAAUGCUGUUUGGAAUUAAUUGGUGUUGGAGUUGAUUCUUUUGCCACUGGAAAAUAUUGCAUGAAUAUAUAUUGAUCAGGAAAUGUGUACUCCAAUGCUGUUUGGAAUUAAUUUGGUGUUGGAGGUGAUUCUUUUGCCACUGGAAUAUUGCAUGAAUACAUAUUGAUCAGGAACUGUGCUUAAAAAUGGAGCUUGAAUCUUAUUAGGGAUAGCAGGAGGAAUAAGAGCAGAGGAAGAAGAAGCUUUAUUAAUAUUGCUGUGAUGAUCAUGAUGGUGCUGCUGAUGGUGAUGAUGAUGAUGAUCGAGUGUUUGGUUGAAGGGCUUGUGGGUUCUGGGAUCUAUGCCUUGAUUGAUCAGCUUCUUGCUCAGUACCGAUUGCCGAGAAGACGGUGGAGACGGAGAAUGAGAUCUUCCUCAUCGGGGGCGAUGUGUCCGCGCUUGACGGAGGGGCGGAGGUAGUUCAUCCACCGGAGACGGCAGCUCUUGCCGCAGCGCAGGAGCCCAGCUCGCUUGGGCAGCGUCCGCCACCGUCCUUCUCCUUCUUUCCUUAUGAACUUGGCCAAAACCUCGUCUUCCUCCGCCGUCCACGGCCCUCUCUUUAUCCCCACCUUGCUGCAACACGGCGUCGUUUUACCACUGCUGCCACUGCCAUUUGUUGACGAAGGUGAUUGCUUCCUCAUGGAUAUAUGAUGAUAUAACGAUGAUGAUGAUGAUGACGACGAUGGCUUCUUCUUGGUUUGGAUCCCAAUUUGUGUGUGGUUUUGCUUAUAGGUUAAGGUUUUUAUAUACAUAUAUAUAUAUGACACUAGUACAUAGUGUAGGGAUAAUAUUCUAGAGUCUUGUUAUUUGAGAUUUUAAGUACUCAAGAUUACAUGAGAUGAGAUGAUAUUUUAUUUAUGAAUAGUGAAUUAAAUUUGGAUUGGAUUA